GGAUACGUGCCUGAAAGCUAAGGGCCUCCUUGAUAGGGAGGACUAUAGGGGUUUAAACCCCCUCGUCUCC
rnacentral:tRNA from 1 species